rnacentral:rRNA from 1 species
AGUAAAGUGGCGACCGGGUGAGUAACACGUGAUUAACCUACCUUCGAGUGGGGAAUAACUUCGGGAAACCGAAGCUAAUACCGCAUAACAUCCCAAGGACGAGAAGCCCAGGGAUCAAAGGAGCAAUUCGCUUGAAGAGGGGGUCGCGGCUGAUUAGCUAGUUGGCGGGGUAACGGCCCACCAAGGCGAAGAUCGGUAGCCGGCCUGAGAGGGCGCACGGCCACACUGGAACUGAAACACGGUCCAG